CCCGGGAUAGCCCAGGGAAACCUGGAUAAUACCGGAUGAGACGGGACCCGCGAUGGCGGGACCCGGGAAAGGCGCUGCGGCGCCGCCGGGGGAUGAGUCUGCGUCCCAUUAGCUAGACGGCGGGGUAACGGCCCACCGUGGCGACGAUGGGUAGCCGGCCUGAGAGGGUGGACGGCCACAUUGGAACUGAGACACGGUCCAGACUCCUACGGGAGGCAGCAGCUAAGAAUCUUCCGCAAUGGGCGAAAGCCUGACGGAGCGACGCCCGCGUGAACGAAGAAGGCCGUGAGGUUGUAAAGUUCUUUUCGGGAGGGGGAACAACCGUGGCAGGGAAUGGCCGCGGGAUGACGUGAAUCCCGGAAUAAGCCCCGGCUAACUACGUGCCAGCAGCCGC
rnacentral:rRNA from 1 species